UACGGAGGAUGCGAGCGUUAUCCGGAUUUAUUGGGUUUAAAGGGUGCGUAGGCGGGCGCUUAAGUCAGCGGUAAAAUCGCGGGGCUCAACCCCGCCGAGCCGUUGAAACCGGGCGUCUUGAGUUGGAGAGAAGCAGGCGGAAUGCGCGGUGUAGCGGUGAAAUGCAUAGAUAUCGCGCAGAACCCCGAUUGCGAAGGCAGCCUGCCGGCUCCAUACUGACGCUGAGGCACGAAAGCGUGGGGAUCGAACAGG
rnacentral:rRNA from 1 species